CGUGUCGUGAGAUGUUGGGUUAAGUCCCGCAACGAGCGCAACCCUUGACCUUAGUUGCCAGCAUUCAGUUGGGCACUCUAAGGUGACUGCCGGUGACAAACCGGAGGAAGGUGGGGAUGACGUCAAAUCAUCAUGCCCCUUAUGACCUGGGCUACACACGUGCUACAAUGGAUGGUACAAAGGGCUGCAAGACCGCGAGGUUUAGCCAAUCCCAUAAAACCAUUCUCAGUUCGGAUUGUAGGCUGCAACUCGCCUACAUGAAGCCGGAAUCGCUAGUAAUCGCGGAUCAGCAUGCCGCGGUGAAUACGUUCCCGGGCCUUGUACACACCGCCCGUCACACCACGAGAGUUUGUAACACCCGAAGUCGGUGAGGUAACCUUUUGGAGCCAGCCGCCGAAGGUGGGACAGAUGAUUGGGGU
rnacentral:rRNA from 1 species